ensembl:snRNA U6 U6 spliceosomal RNA
GCGCUUGCUUCAGCAGCACAUAUACCAAAAUUUAAAUGGUACAGCGAAGAUUAGCAUGGCCCCUACACAAGGAUAACAGGCAAAUUUGUGAAGCAUUCCAUAUUUUU